UUCCACCAUGUGAGGAUACAAGAAGUUGGCAGUCUGCAACCUGGAAGACAGCCCUCACCAGACCCGCUUCCUGGACCUGGAUCUCAGACUUCCAGCCUCCAGAACUGUGAGGAAUAAAUGUCUGUUUGUCUGUUGUUUAUAAGACACUCAGUCUGUGGUACUUCGGUAUAGCAGCCUGAACUAAGACAUGCUUAUAAACAUACAAGAUGACUGGAAAAUUAUUAUCCUGUUGGUCCAAGAACUCCUCUUGGGAAAGGAAUUGUCUUCUUUGGAAUAACACCUUCAUAAGGUCUUGGGUAGAAGGAGAGGCCAAGAACAGAAAGCGCCCUGGAACUACUCUACACAAGAAAGGCUUUCGAAGAGGUUUGUUGUUUCAGAGAGUGAGGGAAGAUCAGAAAAAUGGGGAGACUGAAACUGCACCAGGAAAGGGCAACAGGGGGACACCACAUGGCCAAAGAGUCAAAGAGGACCAGGGAGGGCCAGCCUGAUGCCUUGAGAUUUAAAGGAUUUGCUGUGUGUGCUGUGCUCGUCAGUAAAGUCUCUGUACUCAUAAAUACUGUGUAUCAGCAGGUUUUGCCUGGAAAGCAGUGAAGGAGCUGAAUCUCCAAUCUGGGUUAUAAGAUCAUCAUCAUCAUCAUCUUCAGCUGCCCAUUUGACUGUAG
rnacentral:lncRNA from 1 species